GGACCAAGGAGUCUAGCAUGUGCGCGAGUCAUUGGGACUUGCUAAACCUAAAGGCGCAAUGAAAGUGAAGGCCGCCUUGCGCGUGCCGAGGGAGGAUGGGUCGAUGUAUUUUAUACUCGGCUCCGCACUCCCGGGGCGUCUCGUUCUCCUUCGCGAGUUGAGGCGCACCCAGAGCGUACACGCUGGGACCC
rnacentral:rRNA from 1 species